rnacentral:rRNA from 1 species
UUCGGCGUAAAGGUUGGUUAAAUUUUCUAAUAAAAUAAAGCCGAAUGCUUUCUUAACUGUUAUACGUACUCGAGAGCCAGAAGCCCCCCUACGAAAGUAGCUUUAAUUAUAUUGAACCCACGAAAGCUAGGAUACAAACUGGGAUUAGAUACCCCACUAUGCUUAGCCCUAAACUCCAAUGACUUUUUUACAAAAAGUAUACGCCAGGGAACUACAAGCAUUAGCUUAAAACCCAAAGGACUUGGCGGUGCUUAAUAACCCCCUAGAGGAGCCUGUUCUAGAACCGAUAACCCUCGUUAAACCUCACCCUUUCUUGUUCAUCCCGCCUAUAUACCGCCGUCGUCAGCUUACCUUGUGAAGGCCACCAAGUAAGCACAAUUAGUA